rnacentral:rRNA from 1 species
UACGGAGGGUGCGAGCGUUGUCCGGAAUCACUGGGCGUAAAGGGCGCGUAGGUGGCGCGACAAGUCAACGGUGAAAGCUCGGCGCUCAACGCCGAGUCGGCCGUCGAUACUGUUGGGCUUGAGCACUGUAGAGGCUAAUGGAAUUCCGGGUGUAGCGGUGGAAUGCGUAGAGAUCCAGAAGAACACCGGUGGCGAAGGCGGUUAGCUGGGGCAGUUGCUGACACUGAGGCGCGACAGCGUGGGGAGCAAACAGG